GGACCUUCAGUGCCACAGAGCUCACGUGGUCCCAAGUAACUCUGCAUACGCAAAGUCCAUUCUGGUCUUCCUGGAGCUGUCCCACACUGGCAUCAUUCUCAGAAUGGACUCGCAGGAAAAGUCCAUUCUGGAGUCAGGGAAUUCCUGGCAGGGUGCGGAGGCUCACUCACUGAGAGAAGCCCAGAGCGCAUUCAGUAAGGAUGUAACAGCAGAGGCCAUCAAUCCUCCUGCCCAAAGAAGCCAACUGGGGCCAACCAGAACAUCUCUGCUGCUUGCUAAGGGAAUGAGUUUGUUUUCUGGAGCUGCUGCCUAUGAUUGCAGUGGAGAAAGAUGAUCUGAAAAGUCAGCCGUGAAUUUAUUGCUGCCCAUUCUCCAAGGAUGCUACACCCUGUCCUGUGAAGCUAUGAAGAACCAAGAAAUGUCACGCAAACAUUACACACAGGGUGGUUUCCAGGAAGGAGAAGGCCCUCCAACCAAGCACUGUCUGGCCAUGCCUGAGCUUUUGUGCAGCCUCUUCAGGCUGGAACAGUGUCUGCGCCAGGCCCAGACAUGGUGUGCACUCAGCAGGUGGAAGUUGUUAUCCCUGGCCACCAUCAGGGAGCUGAAGUCUUUAGUGACUUGAGGAGGGAGUCAUGGACACCUGCGUGAAGACCACAGCUCCAUCACUUCUUCUCAAACAAGCUCAGUUUGGUAUAGAAACAUAUAAAUGGAGCUGAAGAGAGGCCCUUCAAUAUUCGCUUCAUCCAGGGAGUCAGGAGACAUACGAGUGGAAGUGAGGUGGCGGGUACCAGCAGAUUUGGCCUUUUCUGAAAGAACUGUGCAGGCAUGGGAAAGAGUCCUAGCAGAUGCAAUAAUAAAUUAAUAAAGAGGAGGAAAUGGGAC
rnacentral:lncRNA from 1 species